rnacentral:rRNA from 1 species
GGAGGGUGCAAGCGUUAUCCGGAUUCACUGGGUUUAAAGGGUGCGUAGGUGGGUUGGUAAGUCAGUGGUGAAAUCUCCAGGCUCAACUUGGAAACUGCCAUUGAUACUAUUAAUCUUGAAUACCGUGGAGGUCAGCGGAAUAUGUCAUGUAGCGGUGAAAUGCUUAGAUAUGACAUARAACACCAAUUGCGAAGGCAGCUGGCUACACGAAUAUUGACACUGAUGCACGAAAGCGUGGGGAUCAAACAGGAUUAGAUACCCUGGUAGUCCACGCCCUAAACGAUGGAUACUCGACAUACGCGAUAUACUGUGUGUGUCUGAGCGAAAGCAUUAAGUAUCCCACCUGGGAAGUACGAUCGCAAGAUUG